AAUUGACUCGCAGCUGCAAUAAUUUUUGUAGGAUCUCGUCAAAAUCGUAUUUUCGGGAAAUUCGCGAAAAGCAGUUCUGCUGAGUGAAGACUUCCGUCCAAAUUUUUUUGACUUAGGCAAAUUUUUUUUUUCGCAAAACUAACAUUGGUUUCGUGGCCCUAGGGACUCAUACAGCAAAAUAUUUUUUUUUUUCAGCGAAAUUAAAGGGGUCCACAGACAUGCACCGAUGUUAUCUGAAUACACUCUAUCUGCUACAAAGUAGUAAUCUUCAUGUUUGCUCAUGGAAUCUUUAUGAAAUCGGAAAAAUGUGGAACUAGCUGUACAUUUGGUAAUUUGCCCUACCUGCACGCUGUGGCACAUAGGCUAUACAUAGGCGCCCCACUGAUGCUUUUUUUAGUGUGAGCAAUGGGACCAUAGUGGUCCCGAAGCAUCAAUUUUAUGUACUUUUAAAAAAUUUGAGGCGCGUUCUAAUAUGUUAAUCUGGUACCUUCCCCAUCUGACAAGUUUUUAUCAGACUUUUGACUAUGUAGUGAAGUGUACAUCACAGGCUUGCUGUGUCAAAAUUCUUCUAUUAUCCGCACCAGGCUCUCUCCUUGAACACUGUUGUCUUUCACAUAUGAACAUUGGAUGCUUGCACGUGUUCUCCAUGUAUGACAGGCUGAAAUAUUCAUAUUUAUUUUCGUUGGCUGCUGCUUCCUUGCGUUAGUGUCAAAGCAGUUGGGGCAUUAUACAAAUGUGCAGGCAACCAUUAAUUGAAUCUGAAAUGCAUGUGCCAUAUUUACUCGAAUCUAAGCUGAUGUUUUUUUAUAAAAAACGUGCGAAAGUGGGGGGUUGGCUUAGAUUCGAGUACCAUGAUUAAGUUUUUUUUUUUUUUCUGGCCUUGCGAAUUUCGAGUGUCGGCCUACAAUCGAGAGCGGCCUAGAUUCGAGUAAGUACGGUACAUAUUCUAGUACUGUCACUAUAGCUUCAGUGGUGGUUGGUCAGCUUUCAGUAGUGAUUCAUCGCAAUGGUGGAUGCAGGGUGUCGGAACGAAAUGUUUUUCGUUUCGGUUUUAGUUUCGUUCCACCGAAAAAAGUUCCGUUUCUGUUCCGGAACUAAAAAAAAAAUGUUUUGUAACGGUUCUUAUUUUUAUGCGAAAAUUUGAAGGUAAAGUAACGAUAAAAACAUAAGAUUUGUGGUAAACUUGCGCUCCUCUUAAGAACGUGGGAUGGGUAAAACACGUUCUUCCCGCAUUCUUCAGAGGAGCGCAAGUAACUGUACGACGAAUUGCUACAGACUAGCGCGAGCUAUGUGGGGUGUUGUGGCUGUGGCUGGCCCAGAAACCCGUCAGGGAGGAGACCAAGACAAACCAGCAGCCAUCUUUACUCCGCCGAGUCUCGGCCACAACUGCGAGCUGCGAGCGUGCUAUUGUUCGUUUUCUUCUUCUACGGACGACGCGCUUGCAGCCGCCGCUUUUAUACUUGUCUAUACGCUUCUAUACACGUAUAGGAAGGAAGAACCAGAGGUCAGCAACAGGAAAGAGCAGGCAACCACAAAUUGCGGCAGCAAGGCGGCUGCCACGACGACUGCUAACCCGAAAAUGGAUGCGGAGCCCCGGAGCCCCCAGUUGCCACGGACAACACCGGGACCUUGGUUACGUGGUGGACGAACCGUGCCGACGUGUGGUCGUGCACGCCACAUGCUGUCCGCUGUGGCCAAGGAUAGUGGCUACUGCGCCCUCCUCCCCAGUUUCACCGGAGGGGAGGGGGCAGUAUAGAAGCGGUGGCUGCGAGCGUGCUGGCCGUAGAAGAAGAGAAUGAUGAGCGAUGGUGCGCUCGCAGCUCGCACUCAGCAGCCACUGGCAGCGGGCAGUUGCGGCCGAGGCUCGGCAGAGUAAAGAUGGUUGCUGGUCUGUCUUGGUCUCGUCCCUGAGGGGCUUCUGGGCCAGCCACACAAAACCCCAAAACUAGCACCCUUCCAAGUUACUGUAUUUAAAUUUCUCAAAAGUGAAUUACAAAUUUUCUGAGCAGGUUCUAUGUUUUGUGUCAAGGGAGUGAGCAUUUUCUCAGAAGCAGCCAGUCAUCGAGGGUGCAAGACCGCUGUUCUGAUAAAACAAACUUUAGCACCGAGAAUGCCCUCUCCACACUAGUGUGACUGGCACACGAAAGUCCACUUGCAUUAAUAUAAACAGCUCUGGUUGCCACUCUUUUCAUUUUUCAUAAAAUUUGAACAUCUUAACUUUGGAAUUCUUCAUAAUGAUUUUUAAGGCGCAAAGCAGGACAAACACAAGAAAGGACACGGGACGGAGCGCCACUAACAACUGAAGUUUAUUCGCAGAAAUUCACAUAUAAAUAUAUGUCGUCCUCAGCGCGUGCGCAGAAAGUUGUAUUGCCAUCAAUGGGGGCGGGAUAAAGCAUGUUCAAUGAACUUUUUCUCUGAUUUGUACAAUACUAUAGACGUGUCGCUGACGCACAUGUCACCUUUUUUAUCGAUAAAAAAUGCUUCCAUUAAUUCUCUGGCAGUUUGGCCUGAGCUUUUAGCGAUAACCCGCACGUCAGUAAAUCGCGGUCCACAAGAGCUUGACGGGCACUGCCUAAUGUGCUUAGGUAAAUUGGGGCCCUGUUUAUUUUGCUCUACAUUUCGUUCGUGUUCCCUGAUUCGCUCAUUUAGGCAUCUGCCGGUUUGUCCAAUAUAGGAGCAGCCGCACGCAAGAGGAAUCUCGUAUACUACCCCUUCAGCACAUUUCGUGUAGGAUAGCCCAUGUCGAGUUCCACAGCCUCUUACAUUCUGAAGGUCUUUUUCUUUUUCUUUUCCUAUUUGAGAGCAAAGCCCUCCGAGCUUCCUGGGCACAGAAAAAACGAGCGGAACACCAUGUCUGCUCGCAACCUUUUUCAGGUUAUGGGCCAACUUGUGCACAUACGGCACGGCCACCGGUCUGACCUCUUCACGAGGGACCUCAGCAGCGGCCCUAGGAGCCCUUUUCUUCAUUUUUUGCAAGAGGCUUUCAGCGACUCCGGUGACGAGCGAGCCAGGGAACCCAGCUGAAGCCAGCCUGACCAAUUGGUUGUCUUCAUCGGUUUCUCAAUUCCUCGAAAGAGCCACGACGUGCGCUCUUAGCAAUUGAUGGGUACCAUGUGCACAGAGGCCAAGGGAUCGAUCAGCUGGCCAAAAUCAUCGUCAGUUCUCUUGCCCGUGACUUCGGACCUGGAGUGAAGUCACAUGGACACAGCGAGCUGGGUAUCUGCUACAGGGUGCUGAAGUGCAGCCACUGCAACACAAAAGGCCACGAAGUCCUGCGAGUGCAGCAAAUUCCUUCGCCUACCUUCCCAACAUGAACCAAGACUGCUUUAGCUCAUCUUAAUGUGUGAAGCAGCGCACAAAAACAAGACAUGAAAGGAGGAAUACAAUUCAACAGGCCAACCACUGCACUUGCAAUUAGCUUAUUUUGAAGGGAAAAAAAAGGAGGGGGUAAUACACAUAUGCACAAGUGCACAACAUUCAAAUUUUUUUUAAGCACCGUUAUGAGCAAAAGUCAUAGUUGCAUGUGGUGCACUUGUGGGUAUGUAUAUACAUAUUUUUUAAAAGAAUAAACUAGUGGCAAGUGCAACAGUUGUCCUGUUGAAUCAUAUUAAUCCUCUUGUGUCUUUUUUCUGUGCGCUGCUUUACGUGUUCAGAUGCUCUGUCACCAAUUCACCCGACUUUCAACCUUACUGAACCUUGCCAAAUGCUGCCUGCCAUGAAACGGCCCUUUUCAGGGCCACCCAUGUGUUGUCCGGCUGGUUGCGAAUGCUCCCCACUGUUACCAAGAUAGCACUGAUAGCCUCCUUGAAACUUGAGAGGAGUUGUGCGCCGCAUGUUGACUCUGCUGGCUGUAUAUUACUUUUGUAUAAUUAAGAUUGUGCCGCAGGGUCUUUCAAUUGAAAGUAAUACAUAUAGCAUGACCUUGCAUUAAUAAUCUUUCAUAAAUGCUGAUCACUACUCGAACAAAUCGAGAACGUUUCUGUAUUGCAGCAAAUAAAUGUAGAAAUUGCA